rnacentral:lncRNA from 1 species
CCCUGUAAAAGGCAGCGCCUCUAGUGAUCAUGUCGAAAUUUUAUUAUGUGGGAUCUGAAAUAGCUUGCUCAAAUAGAAAAUUUCUAUCUCAAGUGAGACUUUGAUUGAGUGUAACUUCUAGUUGAGAAAAAUCCAUCAAUAGAAGGAAUAAUUGAUCUAAAAGUUGAGAUCUUACAUAAAUUUAAUUUUUUUUUAAAUUAUUUC